AAACUUCUAUUUUGGGUAUUGGUUUAGCCACUGGCGCGCCUGAUACCCAUCUCGGCGCCCAUUUCGUAGGGGUCGCCUGACAGAGAAUUCUCAACCCCCGGUCGGCUCCCCGACCGGGGG
rfam:Pseudomonas rhizosphaerae strain DSM 16299, complete genome.